rnacentral:sRNA from 1 species
AGAGAUAGCAAUCCUGUCACAUCUCGACUUAAGCGCACGGCUCUUUAUGAGCCAUUCCCCUGGGCCCAGAACAUUGGAAAUAGUUUUGGGCCUUUUUUU